AACGAACGCUGGCGGCAUGCCUAAUACAUGCAAGUCGAACGAUCACUUCGGUGGUAGUGGCGCACGGGUGCGUAACGCGUGGGAAUCUACCCUUGGGUUCGGAAUAACAGUUAGAAAUGACUGCUAAUACCGGAUGAUGACGAAAGUCCAAAGAUUUAUCGCCCAAGGAUGAGCCCGCGUAGGAUUAGCUAGUUGGUGAGGUAGAAGCUCACCAAGGCGACGAUCCUUAGCUGGUCUGAGAGGAUGAUCAGCCACACUGGGACUGAGACACGGCCCAGACUCCUACGGGAGGCAGCAGUAGGGAAUAUUGGACAAUGGGGGCAACCCUGAUCCAGCAAUGCCGCGUGAGUGAUGAAGGCCUUAGGGUUGUAAAGCUCUUUUACCCGAGAUGAUAAUGACAGUAUCGGGAGAAUAAGCUCCGGCUAACUCCGUGCCAGCAGCCGCGGUAAAAC
rnacentral:rRNA from 1 species